AUCUCCUUUUAGGCCAUCCGGGCCUUGAUAGCCCGGUUCACCAGCCGGUCCUGGAAAACCUCUAAAGCCCAUCAUGCCAGGUAUUCCCGCAUAACCUUUAUCACCCAUUUCACCCUGAAAUAAUUGAAUGAAGUUAAAUCGAAAUGUUAAACAUUGUCUCAAUUAUGGUUUGUCACAUCAAGGCUAUGAUUAAGCAAAAUGAACAUCUUUUCUCAAGAACGGUUUAGAUUCUAUUGCAUUUAAAGUGUUUUGAACAUCUAUCUCAUAAUUAUAUCAAACAUCAGCAACAGAUACUAAAGAAACUUGGUUCUAAUCUAAGGCCUUUUCAGAAAUGAUAUGAAUGAUUUUAAAGUGACUUACCUUGUCGAUUUCAUCUCUAAGUGGUGCAGCUACUCCUUUGCGCCCGAUAUCACCUUUAAGACACAAAAAUUUAAGCAAACCAUCCAAGUAACUAACCGAUAAACUUACCUCUUUGACCUUUUUCUCCUUGAUAUCCUUUUGGACCCAUUUCACCCAUAUAUCCAGGCUCUCCCAUUUCACCAUCUACUCCAGGGGGUGGACUAUAACCCGGUUCGCCCAUCAGUCCAGGGAGCCCAGGGUCUCCUCGCUCACCUUUGAAAUUGAAAUAGACAUAUUAAUAUAAAAUUUUCACAUCUAAUUUUAUCAUUAAAACAGCAGUUUUAAGAUUCCGA